rnacentral:lncRNA from 1 species
AUCCUUCUUCUUCCUUAGUGGUUCUAACUGGGAUGGAAGAGCUUGAAGCUCUAGAGGGUUCAUAAACAGAAACUCUAGGGCUGUUAGAAUGUCUGAAAGAUUUGGAGAAAACGAGUUCUCCUCCUCCAUCUGGAUAUUGAACUAUUUGUUCAAUACUUUCAGAACGCUGUGCGAUGGCUGGAACAGCAUUAGCAAAAUGCCAAUUUUCAGGGAAAUCAACA